rnacentral:rRNA from 1 species
GACGAACGCUGGCGGCGUGCCUAAUACAUGCAAGUAGAACGCUGAAGGAGGAGCUUGCUUCUCUGGAUGAGUUGCGAACGGGUGAGUAACGCGUAGGUAACCUGCCUGGUAGCGGGGGAUAACUAUUGGAAACGAUAGCUAAUACCGCAUAAGAGUAGAUGUUGCAUGACAUUUGCUUAAAAGGUGCAAUUGCAUCACUACCAGAUGGACCUGCGUUGUAUUAGCUAGUUGGUGGGGUAACGGCUCACCAAGGCGACGAUACAUAGCCGACCUGAGAGGGUGAUCGGCCACACUGGGACUGAGACACGGCCCAGACUCCUACGGGAGGCAGCAGUAGGGAAUCGUCGGCAAUGGACGGAAGUCUGACCGAGCAACGCCGCGUGAGUGAAGAAGGUUUUCGGAUCGUAAAGCUCUGUUGUAAGAGAAGAACGAGUGUGAGAGUGGAAAAUUCACAAUGUGACGGUAUCUUACCAGAAAGGGACGGCUAACUACGUG